rnacentral:rRNA from 1 species
GACGAACGCUGGCGGCGUGCUUAACACAUGCAAGUCGAACGGAAAGGCCCUGAUCUUGCGGGGUGCUCGAGUGGCGAGCGGGUGAGUGACACGUGAGUAACAUGCACUUGAAUUUGGGAUAACUUCAGGAAAAUGGGGAUAAUACCGGAUAGGAGCUCUUGCAGCAUGGGGGGGGAUGGAGAGUUUCGGCGGUGGUGGAUGGACUCGAGGCAUAUCAGCUUGUUGGGGGGGUAGGGGUUUACAAAGGCUUUGACGGGUAGCCGGCCUUAGAGGUUGAACGGGCACAUUGGGACUGAGAUACGGCCCAGACGCCUACGGGCGGCAGCAGUGGGGAGUAUUGCACAGUGGGCGCAAGCCUGAGGCAGCAGCGCCGCGUGCGGGAUGACGGCCUUCUGGUUGUAAACCGCUUUCGCCGGUGACGAAGCGUUAUUGACGGUAAUGGGUAAAGAAGCACCGGCUAACUACGUG